UAUUACAACAUUAAAUUAUAUCUAUUUAAUUUAUACUAUCUAUAAAUUCAAUGGAUCAUUUAUUUUUUAAAUUUAAUUAUUGAUAGCCCAAUAAAAAUUUCUGGUAGGCCCAAAAUUUAAAUGAUAAGAUUAUAGAUUAAAUGUAACUUGACUUUUUAGGAAUAAGUUCACUAGGUCCAUUUUUUUAAAAAAUCACACAUAAAUCAAGGUUGUGACUUAUGUUUUAAUAUAUAAGAUAUAACAGAUAGCCAAAAAGUUUAAGCUAUGAAUUUAAAUAAAGAAGAUUGAUUGUAAGAUCCAUAAAUCUAUUUUAUUUUGUUCGAUAUUUGUUUAUUUGGAAAGAUCAAUUGCUUAAAUGUGUAACACUGGUAUGAACAUGUGUGUAUGAUAAUAAGUGAUUUUACUUGUGUGUCAGUGUGUGAGGAGCCAAUACGGUCACACCUGUCCGAUGACUAAAGUCUAAAGAUCAUGUUCUCACGUUGUUCCAGCAACUUCGUGUGCAUAAAACUAUUCACAAGAAAUCCACACGAGAGAAGAUCUUCUUCACAUGAACCAAAUCGAUAUGAUGAAUAUGCAGUUUUAAAAUUCAUAAUUAGGGGACAUAAAAUCAAUGUCAAACGCGAUAUGUCGUAUGAUUAAGUGUCGAUGUUCACAUGUUUGCCCGACAAAUUCGAAGUUAUUAACAACUAUACAUCAUCGAAACAAAUUAAACUAUUACUAAAAUAAAAACAAGAUGGCAUAUAUAAUUCUUGUGUGUACAGGACCUCUUCCAAGUCUUGUUCCUUUACCAAAAGUAUUCAUAAUUCUGCCUAUAUAAAUUCGUGAUGAUACCUCACCUCACUCACGGUCUUUUCUAAACAUGUUCAUCAUAUUGGAGGAGCCAUAAAUCGGGCUCCUAAGGGCCCAGUAAUUAUCUGGCCCAAACAAUGGCCUUACAUAUAAACUACCAAUAAACGAUAACUGAUUACCUUCAUGCAUGUCUCGGUAUCUCGAUCGUGUUUCCUCCUUUGGUUCUUGAUUUGUUUAUUAUCUUCUAAUUUUCAGUUUAACAUCUCAAACACGUGCGUUGUUUUCAGCCGUUGCAGAAGUGUUGUGUGUUUGUGUUUCCAGCCAAUCAUCAUCAUAUGCCUUUUUAUGUUAACUUCCUUAAAAAGAUAUCUCCGCAGAUACGGUCACUCCUUACACCUUCUGGUGGGAUGCUAAUCCGGAAAAGAAAAAUAUGUGUUGGAUCUCUUGGGACACAAUGACAUUGCCGAAAUAUGAGGGGAUCUCGGCUUUCGAGAUAUUGAAACCUUUAAUGAUGCUCUGCUUGCAAAGAUAGGAUGGAGAUUGAUCAAGGAACCACAGUCACUGCUAACUCAGGUUUUAUUGGGUAAAUACGCUCGGAACCAGUCCUUCAUAGUGUCCAAUCCCAGCCACAGCCUUUCACGGCUGGCGAAGCAUACCGGCAGGAAGAGAAAUCCUUUCGAAAGGACUAAGCUGGGUAAUGGGUGAUGGAGAGUCAAUCCGAAUGUGGAACGAAGCAUGUUUGUUUGAUAAAAAAAAAAAAAAAAAAAAUCCGCAGAUAAAAUUUAUAGACCCUAUAGGCUAAUAGCUCUAGAAUUUAUUUGGACCUCGUUUGAUUUAUAGUACUCGAUGUAGUUUAUAGACGAACAGUUUAUACUAUAAGUUUAUGCAAGCGUUCUUGUAACGGUAGAAGAUGAUUCUUAUGAAAUUGAUCGAUUGUCUUUGUUUUAUCCAAGGGAAAAAAAACUUUUCGUCUAUAAUAGCAAAUUCUCGGGCCACAAACAUAACUUUACAGACUUGAUGUUUGUAUUCACUGUUGAAACUAGUUUUUUUUAUGAUACAGAUGUAUAACACAUUACUGUCAAUAUAAAGGUACACAUAUAUUUCCUGUGGCGUAUAAAACGAAUUCGGCGUGGUCUAUAGAAUUAGCUGAUAUAUUUUGUGAACCUCUUAGAAAAUAGAAACCCACGGACCAUAAAUGAUCUUAGCGUAUAAGAAGAUUAAUUAAGAUAUAAGCAUAAAUACAUAUCACAAGGUUAUAUUUAUAUGUGUGUGUGUCUGUAUCUGUCUCUGUGCUGAAAGCUAUCGUCCGUGCCUACCUUUUGUAGUGUGCCCAUUGUAUGAAGUGGGUAACUAAACAUCAUCCUGAAAAUAAUUUUAAAAAUAUGAUAGGUUACUGCAACUGAUACUAUAAGACAAUAUCACCAACACCGUCUAAAAGUAGUACUUAAUUAGUGAGUUCCACGAAUAAGAGCCUUAGGGAAAUCGUAACUUAUCCUUUCUAAUUGUUUACAAGGUUUUGCGCUGUUUAGUUUCCCUCUCGUCUCUUUUAGGUGUUUUAUAUUCAAUCAAAUUUGAACCAUACAACUAUUUUGGUAUAGGUGAGCAGCAUAUUUAUAUGUUCUGUGGAUAUUUCAGCUAUCAUCAUAAUGCUAAAGUAUUUAGUUUCAGAUAUUUCAUCAGCUAUAUCUUACAUCCCUUGUCUAUGUUAACUUUAUCUUUUGCUAACACUGUUUUCAUAACUGUUUUAUGUCGUACUAUCAUACUCCGUUCCAAAAGUUGCAAAAUAUCACAAAUCGCACGACAUGAUGAAGUAUAGACAGUUGAAAGUAUUAAUAAAAUACUAUUACAAACCCUUAUCUUGACCACUUGUCGUGUCGUUAGCGUUCCCAUUAAUAUUGCUUAACGUCUUGGGAGACUGAACAAGAUAACUCCUACACAAGGUCUCACGUGGUCCCCCUCCUACAAACGUGUCAUGGGUUCAGUGGUUUCAAUUGACACGUGUCGUUUUCAUAGUGACGAGGAUGUGCAACUAGUUAUGAGUCCGACCUCUGGAAAGUCUGAAGUGCCCUCACUCGUUGCCUCAGCCGGCCCCUAUCUUGGCCGCAAAACUCUAUACUAUUCCUUUGACCAAAAAUAUCGUUCGUUUUGAGAUAACUUUGACCAUCAUUAAUUCGUCUCUUAACCGGAGUUCCUUAGCCGAGACAGUUUUUAACUUUUUUUAGAUUUUAAUUAAGAAAAACUAAGAAUCGCCUCUUAAAUAAAAAAUAUAAGAACCGUCUUUUAGCCAAAAAAUGUUUUAAAAAAAAAAUUGGCAAAUCAUAAGUUAAAAACUCCGGGCAAGAGACCAAGGUUAAUCAUAUCCUUAGUUACAAUAACGAUGGUUUUGCAUGUAAAUUAGUCUAAUAAAUAAUUUCAUUAACAUUAAAACGUAAUUCAUUAAACUUGUAUACGUAAGAAUUUGUAAAUUAUUCGAUACAGGUGAUUAUUAGGUCUAAUAUGAGGUUGAAUAAGAUACCAUAAAAAAGUAAUGAACACCCGUCUCUUAACGGUGGUAGAGAAUCGCAGCCUUUCAGAUUCCACACGGCUCUUACUACUAAUUUUCUAUAUAUCAACUUGCUCACUUUUUCUUUUGUAUAUGGCCUAUCGUAAACAAAUGAUAAAAUCCCUUCAGCUUACUAUUAUAAUAUUCUUCUCGAUAACGUCAAACUAUAACAAUUCAAUACAUUAGUGUAAUUAAUUUUCAGUGACACUCGUACGACUUUAACAUACAUAAGUACGACGUCACCACUCUAAUAACAUGUUAAUCAAUACAAUACUAAAAUCAGGAUAUAAUCCAUGGAGAGGAUGUCCACGUCCUCACAAAAAAUCAACCAAUAAAAAACGCUUUUUUUGCCAUGUCAGAAGCGUUGUCUAGAUAAACCGGGCCUCAGUGUGGUUUCCAAAAAAAUUAUCAUGGCCACGUCGAGCCCCACAAUUCCAAUUCAUCUUCAACUUCUCGAUUCUCUGUAAUCGCUCUAUCUUCCAUCUCUGUAACCCCCUAUUAAUCAAUGAUGCUUUCUAUACCUUCUGGCUGGUUUCGUUCCAACUUCCGUUCAUCCUCCUCCUGUAUAGAUGGCUUCGUCUAAACCUAAAUCCUAUCAAGAUCGAAACCUAGCAUUAAGAGCAGCUGAAACCACUAAUCGCCGUAGAGCUCCUUCUGAUCGAUGAGCAGGAUGGCCUAUUUGCUUAAAGUUCUUUGUUUGUGUAGCUAAUGAGGGCUCUUUGAUGGUGUUAUAUUCUACUGGAAGUCUGGAAGCCCAGUUCAUCAUAUGAGUUGCUUUGGAGAUGUUGCAAGACGCCUUCAGGAAACCGCUCUAGAUGAAGCCACUAAAGGGAAACAAUACAUCCACUCUUGCCUUAGUAGAAAGCAGUACGGUGAAGGGCUGAAGGCAGACUGUUGUUCCACGGGUUCUGCGUUUUUGGGAGGCAAAAAAUGUGAAGAAGGGAGGUGAGCUGAUGGGCGUCGACAUGGACUUGGUUGAUGAAAAGGUGUUUCGUUUCCCAAUUGCAAUUUGAGUUGCUUUCUUUUCAUUUUAGUCUACAAUUAUUACUUACUUCCUUAUAUAUGGUUCCUUCUGUUGAUCGCAUGCAACCCUUAUUCAGUCCUCCAUUAGUGCCCGUCGACUCAACACGUUCCACCACCUCCUAAGAGAGGGUGCGAUGUAACAAUUAGCAACCAAACUUUAAAGUCUCAGACUCCCUCAUUGCUAUACACGAAGCAAACAAAAUUCAUUAAAAUAGUAGCAACCAUCAACCAUGUUCCUGAUGAGAUGUUUAGGUUCCUUGCUUAUGACCAGCGGCUCAUGCUUGCACACAUUUAAUACCGAUUUACCAGCUGUGGUUAGUGAAGUGAGGGGGCAUCAAAGGGAUUUUCAACAAUGAGACAAAAGACCACAGAACGCAUAACUUGCAUCUUGACAGGUGUAUACAUAUGAAGUACUAUAAGCGAAACAACUGUUUGUGUGAGUGUUUUGACAACUUAGCAACCCUCCUACAUGAUAAAUUAUUGGCAUUUGGUUUGGAGCCAAAGAUUACUGUUGCUACUAAUAUCAGUCUAAAGUUAAUGGAGGAAGUGCAUCAAUAAGAAGGGCCUCAAGUUGUUCUACAACCAAAUAUGGGGGUGUCCAGGAAUUUUGUUGUCUAACCAUGGCUGACUUAAUGCACACGUACUAAAUUCAUAGCCGCAGAGAGCGCAUUAGAACUCAUCCCAUGCUUUCUAGAGCGGUGAAAAUUAACCCCUGCUGAUGGGUUUAUAAUUGGAUCCCCUGAGAAAACAGCUGAGGGAGAUGAUGUUGGAAUACUUGACGGAAGUGCUGCUGAGUCUGCUCUUCCACAUGUUGAACCUGUCUCAGGUGGAGUGGAUGAAGGGAAGAAGCCACACAUUUUUUAACUUCACUGCCUACGAAGAACCUAACUUCAAAUUGGAAAACCUCAACUCUAUCGCAUUUCUGCUUUUAAUGUUUUCACUUUCACUUUGUCUACUGUUUCCUGAAUUUAAACCCCUUCUACCGGCUAUUUCUUUAAUCUUUCCUUAAGGUUGUCGUAGUAACAAGGAAAAAUAAUUCGUUUGAUCUUUAACAUAUACUCUGACUCUAUGUAGUGGAAUAACAAAAUUUAGGAGAAGCGAAAGGCUGGCUCCUCCAUGGAAAACGUCGUACACGUACUGGGAAAUACCAGCAAUUUUUUUCUAAAAAAAACUGUAACAUUGGUUGUUAUGAGAUGUCACUGAGAUUUUUUGUAAGAGUGCAGCUAACACUGUAGCAUUGAUGUAUGUAGUUUAACAAGUAAGCUAUAGUUAUGUCGCUCGCAAUUCCAGCACCAAAUUGUGAACCUACUUUUUAAUAGAACUGUAUAAUCUGGAAACUGCAAUCCAUCACAAGCUCGCGAUAAUUUAAUCAAUCAUAACAGUAAACUUAAAUGAAAUAAUCUGGAAAAAGAAGUCCAAGUCUUAAUUUACAAUAUACACAUACUAAAAAAAAAUGCAGCACAAUAAUCAUGGAUUCAGUGCCUGACUGGUUCAAACGCAGCGGUUGCGGGUGGUUGCGGUUUCUAACGGUUUUAAGAGAUUUGUACGACUGGUUCUGCGGUUAGAAAUUGUUACGUUUACGGGAUAUUUACGACUGGUUAACUACCAAAUGCAACAGCGGUUAAAUAAUAAAUUAACAAUAUUUACAUUUUAUAUA